GAUGAACGCUGGCGGCGUGCCUAAUACAUGCAGGUCGAGCGAACAGACGAGGAGCUUGCUCCUCUGACGUUAGCGGCGGACGGGUGAGUAACACGUGGAUAACCUACCUAUAAGACUGGGAUAACUUCGGGAAACCGGAGCUAAUACCGGAUAAUAUAUUGAACCGCAUGGUUCAAUAGUGAAAGACGGUUUUGCUGUCACUUAUAGAUGGAUCCGCGCCGCAUUAGCUAGUUGGUAAGGUAGCGGCUUACCAAGGCAACGAUGCGUAGCCGACCUGAGAGGGUGAUCGGCCACACUGGAACUGAGACACGGUCCAGACUCCUACGGGAGGCAGCAGUAGGGAAUCUUCCGCAAUGGGCGAAAGCUUGACGGAGCAACGCCGCGUGAGUGAUGAAGGUCUUCGGAUCGUAAAACUCUGUUAUUAGGGAAGAACAAAUGUGUAAGUAACUAUGCACGUCUUGACGGUACCUAAUCAGAAAGCCACGGCUAACUACGUG
rnacentral:rRNA from 1 species